rnacentral:misc_RNA from 1 species
AAGUCGUAACAAGGUUUCCGUAGGUGAACCUGCGGAAGGAUCAUUAACACGUAUCCAAACGUUAAAACCCCCCCCGUGAACUUUCAAUCCUGCUCUUGUAACCCGCGUAGUUCCGCAAUCUCUGGUAAAUCAUAGCCCGGAAAGUUGUUUUGAUUCAGAGACCUCUGGCUACGUGAGAACAAUGGAACAGUUACAAUCGAGCGGUAGUUUUAUAGGCAUUGUUUAGUGUCGGAAAGUGUCAUUGAUUGUGCAAGGAUAGCGCUUCACGAUAGACCGUACACUCGGGCAGGAGCUAUACAGUUUAAUGUAAAGCUCAAUGUAAUACAUUGGUAAAAAAACGGAUAUCUUGGUUCUC